UACGUAUGGGGCGAGCGUUGUUCGGAAUUAUUGGGUGUAAAGGGCGUCUAGGCGGGAGAUUAAGUUAGAUGUGAAAGGCGUGGGCUUAACCCACGAAUUGCAUCUAAAACUGGUUUUCUUGAGUUCGGGAGAGGAGAGCGGAAUUCUUGGUGUAGCGGUGAAAUGCGUAGAUAUCAAGAAGAACACCAGUGGCGAAGGCGGCUCUCUGGCCUAGAACUGACGCUGAAGCGCGAAAGCGUGGGGAGCAAACAGGAUUAGAUACCCGCGUAGUCCCU
rnacentral:rRNA from 1 species